rnacentral:lncRNA from 1 species
AUGGAGAAUCAAACCCAAACGAAGUCUAUACUGGCUCGGUCGUCGCCCAGGAUAAAAAGGACCGCGGUGGGUGCUGCUGAUUCUGGACAUCCAUCGACAAGUGGGCUACGGAAUCAUCAAAACCCAAAUGAACAGUCACAGAAGCGGCAAAAAUAUACAAUGCCAGAAAACCGCACAAUUAUGAAAUGCUACUACAAAUCUGAACCUCAAAGGCGUUGCUACCAAAAAAGGAUGCAUCAACUGUGGAAACAAGAGUACCCUGACUCACAGAUAACAGAACCCCGACUGGCUGACCAACGAAGAUUCAUAAUCAGAAACAAAGUGUUCAGUGAAGUUGAACUCGAAGAAAUCCAGAAAAUUUGCAAAGUAGAUUACCAUCAGACCACAGCACAGACAGCAGCAGAGACUCCAGCAACACUUGGAAUGGUGGAACAGAUUGAACCAGAAGGAAGUGUGGAGCUUUUGCAAGAAUUUGAAGAACCGGCACUUGAAACAUCUGCUGAACCACCAGGAACCUUGACAGCAAGACAACAAGAGCUCAAGGAUAAGAUCAUGGCUCAUGCUGCAGCAAAUGCAAUAAGACAGCGGCUCCCAACUCUAAAAACAGUGCCCAAGAGACACCUGACGCCUCUCAUGAAAGAUGUGAAUGCAGUACUCUCCACUGUCCAAAUAACAUCAAUUGAACAAACAAACCAGUUUGCCUACAGUGCAGCAGUGAUAGUAACAGAAGAACUUGGGCUCCUACAACCAAGGCAGCCCCAAAGAAAAUCGACUGGAAAACCAAAGUGGAAGGUCAGGCUAGAGUUGAAAAUCAAGAAACUUCGAUCAGAUGCAAGUAACCUGAAAAAUAUGAAAGAGAGGAAACUGAAGAAUGACAAAAUCAAGCAAUACCUGAUCCGAAAGUACUGGCUGAACACCAGAAAAAUUGAAGAAGCUUUGGAAAUCGUGAAAGAACAAAUUACAGCAACAGCCAGAAAAAUUGAAAGGUAUGAAGCCAGAAUCAUCUAG